rnacentral:rRNA from 1 species
UACGUAGGGUGCAAGCGUUAAUCGGAAUUACUGGGCGUAAAGCGUGCGCAGGCGGCUAUGCAAGACAGAUGUGAAAUCCCCGGGCUCAACCUGGGAACUGCAUUUGUGACUGCAUAGCUAGAGUACGGUAGAGGGGGGUGGAAUUCCACGUGUAGCAGUGAAAUGCGUAGAUAUGUGGAGGAACACCGAUGGCGAAGGCAGCCUCCUGGGCCAGUACUGACGCUCAUGCACGAAAGCGUGGGGAGCAAACAGG